CCUAAAAUCUAGCUCACCUCCACACCUAUGAUUCCCAUAACCCAUCUUUAUGCAAAUAAAACAUUUUAAUAGUUUAGUACAGGAGAUCAAAAAAUUUCUAGACGCUUCAGAUAAAGUACCGCAAGGGAAUGAUGAAAUAGUAAUGAAAUAAACUUAAAGCCUAAAACAGCAGAGACACUCCCUCGUACCUUUUGCAUCAUGGUCUAGCCAGUCUAAUCAAGCAAAAAGUAACUUUAAGUUUGACACCCCGAAACUAAGCGAGCUACUUAAGAACAGCCCCAAGGGGCCAACCCGUCUCUGUUGCAAAAGAGUGGGAAGAUUCCUAAGUAGAGGUGAUAUGCCUAUCGAGCUUAGAGAUAGCUGGUUGCUCAGGAAAAGAGUUUCAGCUCUACCUUAAGUUUUAUCAUUACCCUAAACAAACCACUAAACUUAAGAGCUAUUCAAACAAGGCACAGCUUGUUUGAUACAGGGUACAACCUCACACAUUGGGUAAAUAUAGGUUCCUAAAUAAAGUAGGCCUAGAAGCAGCC
rnacentral:rRNA from 1 species